rnacentral:rRNA from 1 species
UACGUAGGGGGCUAGCGUUGUCCGGAAUCAUUGGGCGGAAAGCGCGUGUAGGCGGUUCGGUAAGUCCGCUGUGAAAGUCGGGGGCUCAACCCUCGGAUGCCGGUGGAUACUGUCGGGCUUGAGUACGGAAGAGGCGAGUGGAAUUCCUGGUGUAGCGGUGAAAUGCGCAGAUAUCAGGAGGAACACCAAUUGCGCAGGCAGCUCGCUGGGACGUUACUGACGCUGAGACGCGAAAGCGUGGGGAGCAAACAGG